rnacentral:hammerhead_ribozyme from 1 species
GUUCGGCUGACGAGUCUCAAGCGAGACGAAACGCACGUCCUGUAU